rnacentral:lncRNA from 1 species
GUUUGUGAAGUCCUGCUAAGAGAUGGUGCGUUGCAGCAGGAUGUUGGAUGUAUGGGUUACACAUCGAGAACUUUGAAUGGAAGGUUGAAGGAGCAUAGAAGGGAUAUUGGGAGGAACGCAUCAUCUACGACAUUAGCGCAAAGAGCCUUACUGGCAGGUUUGACUAUUGGAUGGGACGAAUCUGGAUUACUAUGUGAACAGGAUCCUAGAAGGGGCAGAAUGGCUGGGGCGAUCGCGAUAUACACGAACAAGACUUCGCAAAUCAAGCCGAUCAGCGGGGUCGAUCUGGUGACGUUGGGCACCGCAUGGAGGUCCUGUAUUG